rnacentral:lncRNA from 1 species
GAGUAUAUGGAUAAUAUGGGAUAUGUCAAUUAACCCUUGUUUUGUGACAGUGUUUGAAAAUGGCAUCUGAAAAUGUUGAGAUAAGUAAUGGAGCAAAAUAAUAUGACCGUAUCGCAGUAUGAGGCUAAGUUUGCGGAGUUAUCCCGGUUUGCAUCGCAUUUGGUCGAUAAUGAGGAGCGAAUGACGCGAAUGUUUCUAAGAGGUUUGAAACCCGAUAUACGUCAAUACCU